rnacentral:lncRNA from 1 species
GAAAACAUAAAACAGGGGGCGUGAGAACUAUUAAAUAAUAGUUCCCAGUGGGCAAUUACUGACUUCAGUGAAAUGCACCACUAGACCCAAAACUAUGCAAGUAAGGUAAAUAAGGCAGGUAAGAAUAAUAUAUGAACAGAUAAAUCACUGAAAUGGUAGCUCAAUAUAGCAUGAAGUCACUACUUCCAUCAGUAAUAAUCUACCACAUGAUCUCUACUUAGCAUGAAUUUGCAUAAGUAAUAAACUACCACAUGAUCUCUACUUAGCAUGAUUUUGCGUAAAUA